GUCGAAAAGUUAUUAUUUCAUACACCACAAAAGAAAAUAAACUACUCAACAUAAAGUAAUAUGGGUAUAUACAAGACAAAUAUUCACCCAACAGUAAUUCUUCAAAAGAAAGUAAUACGUAUAAUAACAUUUUCUCAUUAUCGCGAGUCACACACCUCACAAUUUUAAGAGACUUAAGCUCCUGAAAUUUUGUCUUACCUAAUACAACAUUACUUACGCAUAAAUUUAACAACAACAAACUUGCAUAUGAGUUUAUGAACUUUUUUAUCUGUUAGUUGCAAGCAUCAUUAUAUAGUACAAGAAGUUCUGCGAAAUCAUCCUUUUCCCAUUCCCAACCUCGCACUAAUUAUGGAAAGUAUCAGAUUGACGAGUCCAUUAAAUCUCUGAGCGCAUCUUCUUUUAAAAAGAAUUUAAAACAACAGUUAAUUGAUUACUACCAGUUCCGCGUAAUUAGUAUAUGUGUAACAGUCAAUUUCCUUUUUUUUUUGUUUUGUUUUGUCUUGUGUUCUUUUGGUUUCUGUUUUGUUUUGUACUUUGUGUUUUCUUUUGGUUUCUGUUUUGUAUUGUACUUUGUCUUUGUUUUAUUUUUUCGACUUUGUUUUCACCGGCUUCUUGUGACACUCUUUAAAUAAUAGUAUAUUGUAAUAUAUUAAUGACCACCUGUCUCGAUUAGGGACCGGUCAUUAAUAGUGGGACGGGGGGAGGUGGAUAAGAAAAGGAGGGCGGCUUCAACUAUUUUUGUCUGAACUGGGGGCGGCCUCAAAAUGGGAGGUAUGUGUCAAGGGGCAACCCCAAUUUCUUAAUACUUUCCUACUCAUUUUCAAUCUCUCGCCUUUAUCGUAUGCAACAAAAUAGUUCACCAUAGGAAUCCUAUAGUCGUAUCCUAUAGUCACCAUAUAGUUCACCGUAGGAAUCCUAUACCAAUAGUUCACCAUAGGAAUCCUAUAGUCGUAUCCUUUAUCCUAUAGUCGUAGUUUCCACACUUUAUUACGGAUAUGCAGUUCACCAUAGGAAUCGGAGUAAAUAACAACCAUUUUGAAUACUGGUCCUCUAAUUAUUUAGGCUACACAAUGUCUUACACCAGUACUUGUCCCAUUACCUAUUUUACACCAGAAAAUGUAACGAAUUAAAUGUUGGAGUGGGGACUGGGGGGAGUCCUAAAUUUUCUAGAUGAAGGUGGGGGCGUCUUGAAAAUAAAGCUCUUGCGAUCGG